GAUGAACGCUGGCGGCGUGCUUAAUACAUGCAAGUCGAGCGAACAGACGAGUAGCUUGCCCGUCUGACGUUUGCGGCGGAAGGGUGAGUAACCCGUGGAUAACCUACCUAUAAGACUGGGAUAAUAUCGCGAAACCGUAGCUAAUACCGGAUAAUUUGUUUAAUCGCAUGGAUCAGUAGUGAAAGACGGCUUUGCUUUCACUUAUCGAUUGAUCCGCGGCGCAUUAGCUCGUUGCUAAGGUAGCGGAGUGCCAAGGCAAGGUUGCGGAGCCGACCUGAGAGGAUGGUCAGCCAGACUGGGACGGAGACCCGGUCCAGGCUCCUACGGGAGGGGGCAUUACGGAAUCGUCCGGCAUGGGCGAAAGACUGAGGGAGCAACACCAAGUGAGUGAUGAAGGUAUUCGGAUCGUAAGAUUAUGUUUUUAGGAAAGAAAAAUUGUGUAAGUAACUAUGAACGUCUUGACGGUACCUAAACAGAAAGCCACGGCUAACUACGUG
rnacentral:rRNA from 1 species